rnacentral:rRNA from 1 species
CGUGUAGGCGGCCUGCUAAGUCUGACGUGAAAUCCCUGGGCUUAACCUAGGGACUGCGUUUGAUACUGGUGGGCUUGAGGACGGGAGAGGAAAGUGGAACUCCGUGUGUAGCGGUGAAAUGCGUAGAUAUACGGAAGAACACCAGUGGCGAAGGCGACUUUCUGGACCGUCCCUGACGCUGAGGCGCGAAAGCCAGGGGAGCAAACG